GCUUAAUACAUGCAAGUCGACUUGCUUUUGAUUAGCAAUAGUCAAAAGAGAGUGGCGCACGGGUGAGUAACACGUAGAUAAUCUACCCUCAGGACUAACAUAAUGUAGAGAAAUCUGCACUAAUAUCAGAUGAAACAAAAUCCUGGCAUCAGAGAUUUUGUCAAAGUUUUAACGCCUGAGGAUGAGUCUGCGGUCCAUUAGGUAGUUGGCGGUUUAACAGACCACCAAGCCGACGAUGGAUAGCUGGUCUGAGAGGAUGAUCAGCCACACUGGAACUGAGACACGGUCCAGACUCCUACGGGAGGCAGCAGUAAGGAAUAUUGCUCAAUGGGAGAAAUCCUGAAGCAGCAACGCCGCGUGGAGGAUGAAGGGCUUUCAGCUUGUAAACUCCUGUAAAGAAGGAAAAAAUUCCCAUUAGAUGGGAGAUGAUGGUACUUCUAAAGUAAGCCCCGGCUAACUACGUG
rnacentral:rRNA from 1 species